rnacentral:lncRNA from 1 species
AGGGGAAAGGAAGAGACAACACUGCAGAAGGGGAAAGAAGAGGAAAGGAAGAGACAACACAGAUGAGACGCAGCAGGAGAAAGAGAUGAUACAACAGGAAGAGAGGGAGAAAUCGAAAGUAAGACAUUUCAGCCAGUGCACUCAAAAGAAAGCUGCCCUGAUCACUGGUGAUCCGUGCUUUCCCACCACCUUUUGGAGUCAGGUCACCAUACACUGCACUCCAGCUUCUUUGUCCUGGAGGUGCACUGAGGCACUGGGCACCCUGCUGUCCUCAUGGUAGGCCAUGUUGAAGCUUUCCAAGAAGAGCCUUGGGGCAUCUUGUCAGCCCAGUCUCAGCCAUAUGACAUCUGUUGACGGGCGAACAGAAUACCAGGAAAGAGUAGGGCCAGCACAGAGCUGGUGACUGGCCAUACAGAGGGAGGAUGUUCUCUUGAACACACUCCUAUCCGCAGUGUGCACCCUUUGGCUUCUCCUCCAGGAGAAUUAGCUCCCAAGGGGACCCAAAAGCCUGCUCCAGGAAAAUUCUGCGUGCAAGAAAUAGGGAAGGCAUGUGUUGCUGGCCUUGAACCCAGUUCCUAUGGAAAAGCAGAUACAUGAAGCCAAAGCAUCUGAUCAAAGUCAUCAGAAAUAUCCUGCAAUCAUGGUAAGAACAAGCACCCCAACUGCGCAGUCUCGCGAUGGUGCUACCCGAGAAAUGCUUCCUGCUUGGGGAAACGUGGCAUCCUACAAUUACAUUCAGAAUAACUGCCGCCAGAGCCUGAGCGAGCCAUUGCCGCAUGUGAGCUCUCCCGUGUCUGUUAUUUGUCGUAGGAGUCUCUCAUCGCUGGAAGAUAGCUCUGAGAACAUGCACUGCAUCUUAAAACUGAAGCACAGUGCGUUAACUCCUGCGCAUGGCCAUGUCAGCACAGCUUGCUUCAGGACAUCAGCACAAAGGCCGGCAGGGACCGUGAUCCCUUCUGUACACACAGGAAACAUUACCACAGCACGGUAGAUGCUACCGUGUGGAAAGCCUUUCUUCAAUAUGAGCGGUGGUAGAAAUUAGCUUUGGCCUCAUGCUGUUCAUAACUGUGGUUUAUUUCAUUUCUAUGUUAUUGCUCUCAUAAACUAUUAAAAACAAAGCUCCCUGCCAGAAGUUAGGAAAUAAAGCAAAAACCAUCUCUCUCA